rnacentral:tRNA from 1 species
AAGACACUAGUAAAAAUGCACAUUACACCGCCUUGUCGAGGCAGAGUUGUGGGUUAAAUCCCCGCGUGUCUUA